AUUGAAGAAUGUAGAAGAUGAUUCUGUUGACUGGAGCACCUGGAAACUUUGGAAUUAGAUACAAAACAAGAAAAAGGGAAAACAAUGGUGAAAAGAUGCUUGUCCUUGGAAAUUGUUUGAAGGCAAAGAAUGGAAUAAGGAAUACAUUCUCUUUUGUCUCCUUCAGUAAGUUUGGUACUUAUUCAGCCCACAUAGUAUAAAAUAAGAUGGGCCAAGUUCUUUUUCUUCUUCAAUUGGCAUAGGGCAGCCGGCGCUGCACCUACAAAUCCUAAGCAUCUGGGACCCAAUCAAAAGAAAAGAGAAGUAUUGUACUUGCUUCCAUACUAACAUUUGAUGAAGGAAAGACAAUUCUCGCCCUUGACUCCUGCCUCAAUUGGCCAGAUUCUCUUGCCUAACUCACCCCAAAAGCUAGCUCAAGGGAGGAUUGCCUAUGACUCAUAUAAGGGGCACAUUACCCUUUUUCACAACCGACGUGGGAUUCAACGCACCUCUCACGCCCAGACUUUUUUACUGGUGCGUGGCACAUUUAUGGGGCGCCUAACAUUAGAUGGGAGGCUCUGAUACCAUGAAACUUUGAUGAAAGUAUAUAUACUACUUACAAGAGUACACACUAGGAAAAAAUAAAGGUAGCAGUGGAAGAAAAGCUGUUAUAGAUUCUAAGAAUGGGAAUCUUAGAAUCUAACUCAAAGUGAGGCCAAGGAGUCAUUCUCAAGUCAAGAAUUUUGUUAUUCCUCUCUACCCAAAGCCACAAAAAAUGGGUUCCCAGUUCCCACCCAUCUUUUUUUUUUUUGCCCCUUUAGCUUAAUAUAGUGAGAUGCUCUACAGGCAUUCAUGAUUAGUGUUGUGUCCCUAUAAGUUGAGAAUAUUUUCCCUGUUUACAGAUUGCUUAGGUUCAUUUGAGAUGGGGUUUGCAACGAGUAGGUACCAUUUUGCAACUGUGUUCUGCCACUAACUAGUACUCUGUUCCUAGUACUCUGUUCUGUAUUAUUAUCUAUCCCACUUGUAAACUAAGUUCUGAUUUUUGUCCUCUUACACUUUAUUAGGCAUUAA